rnacentral:piRNA from 1 species
UAAAGAUAGCUUUUCAAAACA